rnacentral:misc_RNA from 1 species
CUCUGGUAAAAUUUUUUCGCACUAAAUCCUUUAUCUCUUCGCUGACGGGAGGCUUGAAGAAGUUGCGGUUGAUUUUCGUGAAGGAAUUUACUUCGUCUGUGGAAAAUCAAAUGAUACAUCAGCUUCGACAAUGGCGUGUUGAAAAUAUUCAUCAAUUUAAUUUUCAGAAUACAAAUGGUUUUCAAGGUCCGAUACAAAGGAUUCUCCCAGUUGAAAAUCUCAAAUCUUGAGAAUCAUGAUUUUUAUUUCAUCGUUCUUAAGGAGAAAUGGAAAAGGAUCUAAGGAAAUCUACGAUAGUUCAUAUCGACACUCCCUGUCACCCCUGAGUACGCAUGAUUCGAAGUCUUUUUUCAACCAAUUUGGAUCGGGCAGGGGAAGAUCCGGGAAUAUCUGUUUGCGUUCAACGUAGUACCAAGGAGCCCUCACGUAGUAGUACCAGGAUAUUACACGCUCCACAGGAUCUCGAACAAGGUUCACGUAAAUCGGUUCCGGCAAAUUGAACCUGAGGGGUAAAAAUAAAACGAAUAAAUUCCGCUUCAACUCGCGAGUGUCUUUUACUCUACCGAAUGAAUUUUCGCAAAUUCCGUGAGCGAUUUUUCUAUACUCACUCCGUGAAAUUUGUGAAGCACACGUGUUUGAUGUACACCGAAGGUUCGGAGUAACCGGAGACCAUGGAGGCGAGUUGGAGCUGAAAAUUUUCGACAAUCGUGAGGCUGGAAAGAAUUUAAAAAAUCGCGCGUCGGAUCGUAUCGUUUCGACGUGAAACUCACCUGUUCAAUCGGAGCUAAACGGAUGGUUUCGACUCUCUGCACCCUGUCCCUGUUGAAAGAAAAUCCGUUCGACAGGGAGAGUCUUCUCAAAAGUUCCAUGAACGUUUGAGAGCCGACUUUGGGGACACGAUUGAAAAAUAUCACUUGCUUGCGAGCCCUCCGAGUGUUAUUCAAGGCGUCGAUGUCCAAAAUCUGCCGCAGGUCGUCGUACUCUUACCGAUUCCGUUAAUCUCUGAUUGAUCGUCGAGUAGUAGUGAACGACGCCGCUCGAUCCGGCAGACUCCGAUCUCAUCGAAGUUUGCACUCCUUCUGAAAAACGGAAUGAAAAGUAUAAAAAAAGAU